UAAACUUGUAACAUUUUUGGCCAAUCCAGAGCUCAGUUUUGGGAAUCUUUGGGUCCUUUCUCCCACCUGGAGAACAGAAGCCCAGGCAUCACCUGAGCUGUAUUUUCGCCCCUCACUUCAGCCGUGGUGGUCAGAAGCAGCCUGAGGAUCUGAGCCCAGUCAGCUGGGGUUGGACCUGUCAUCUCCAGGCUCGCCUUCUCACAGCAGCUCUCCUGCUGUUGCACACUGGGCGAGACUCUGGGCCACUCAGGGGCCAAGGGCGUGUCCUGCCCCAGCCCUUCGUCCUUCCUUUCCAGAACAGAGCUCGUGCCGUGUUUCACGGGUCAGAGUGCCAGCAAAUCCCACUUUCCCGCUGACUCCCCAGACCACCUGUAGGUUCCGUGAUUCCGUAGGACUCACAGGACCCUGCACGGUCACGGCUGUGACUGCGUACAGUGAAAGGUCUCGUGGGCACCCUCUGCCUGGCACAUCCCGACCUUCCAGACUCCGGAGGAAAGCAGGAGUUCAGCGACCUGUACUGUCGGUACACAACUGCGGGCUCCGUGAGCCUCUCUCUUCUUACUGGUUAGGGAGGUGGGCGCCCUCCCGACAUCCAGCCUCGUAGGCAGGCCUUUCUCUCCAGGGUUGGUCGGGCCUGCUGUGUUGACUCGUCCUCUGCAGACCACACAGAAGUAGAGUUGAUGCGUGUGGGCUGGCCUCACGCCCUGCACCCCACUGAACUCGCCUGUUAGCCUUAGCAGUUUCUUGGCGGAUCCCUUCGGGUUUGAGAUCAUGUCGUCCUCAAGCAGACAGUUUGCGUCUUCCUUUCCAGCCCGGACGCCUUUUACUUCUUCGUCUGCCUGGUGCUCUGGCUGGAACCUCCAGCGCAGGUUGAGGACAGGUGGUGUGUGUGGACCCCUCGUCUUGUUGCCACCUGACGGGCCGAGCUCGACUGCUGAGGAGGACGUCAGCUGUGGGUUUUCUUAGGUGCUUUUAUCAAGGUGAGGACGUGCCCUUCUGUUGCUUUUGUCGAGGUUUGUUGUUUUCCUGGAAGGUGCUGGAUUUUGUCCGAUGAUUUUUCUGUAUCUGUUGAGACGAUGCAGUGUUGCACUAGUUGGAUUUCGGGUGUCACGUUCUUGCAUCCCAGGGAUAAAUCCUGUUCGCUCAUGGUGCAGAAUCUCUUUUAUGCAUCCUGGAUUAGGCUCGCUGUUGUCGUGACGAGGACUUUUGCUUCUGUAUUUACACUGGAUAAUGGUGUGUGGCUUUCCAGUGACGUCUUUGGUUCAGUGUCAGGGUGACGCUGGUCUCGGAGGGACAUGGGAAGCGGUCUCUCCUCUUCUGUUUUGUGAAAGUUUGUGAAGAGUUGGAGUUAAUUCUUCUUUAACCAUUUGGUAGAAUUCACCAGUGAACGCCUCUGGGCUUGGGCUGUUCUUUGUGGGAAGUUUUAAAAUUGCUGAGUAAUCGCUUUGCCUGUGUUCCCCGUCGCGUCAGCACUGGUGGCAUGUCUCCCGGGAGCUGGUCUGCCCCACCAGGACACGGUCGUCUGUGGUUUCCCUCAUCUUCCUGGUUUCUAGCGGGGUGCCCCCUUUUAUUCGCGGCUGCUGUGGCUGUGAAAGCAUGAAAGAUUCCUCAGGUGCAGGCAGCUGCUUCUUAGUCGUGGGGUGAGUGUGUGAGAAAGUCCGGCCAUUAGACCGAAGGGCAUUCGUGUUCAGAGGCAGCUGCUGGGAAGGGAAGCCUCCUGUGUCUUCCGGGAGGACUCGCGUGCGCCCCCCGCCCCUCCGCUCUUGGUGGCACCAGCAGCCGCCUGCCGUUUGCCGCUGGCACCCUGGCGUUCGGUUGGUGCCCUGGUGGCCACUGCAGAGCGGUGCCUGUGGCUGCGGCCCACCCUUGUGCACAGCCUGGGGAGAGACCCGGCCUCACACGCUCCACUGUAGUGUCUGUCGGGGCCGCUCAGCCUCUGAGAGCGGCGUUUCCCCCACCCGCGGUCCUUCCACACGUGUCCAGGUGGGUUCGGAGCCGGAGUUCCCGGAACAAGGACUGGGGUCGAAGUUCACGUGCACGUGGAUGUCGUGGCUGUGCCUGUCCCGUGUCCUCUGCAGGGUGCCCUGUCUGGCGUCUCGGGAAGGGCGUGUGGAGGGUGAAAGGAGGGUCCUGCCUUGAUGAAUCUGCUUUUCUCUAAGGCAGUAGGGGUCAGGACUGAGCAUCUUUCACAGGUGUGGAAAGGCUUUUGUAUCUGAUUCUGUCCUUUGUCCCCUUUGUUUGCUUGUGGCCUUCGGGCGCUUCCUGUGAGGUCAGGUCUGGGUGGAUGGUACCUGCUUCGUGCCCAGGGGGUUCCAGCCUCCAGGGGCUCCCCCGUCACUGGGCUCGCCUGGCCUGAGUGGGGCUGGGUGGUACCAGCAUGGGGGCUUGUGCCCCUCCUUCUCUCGCCAGCUUCCUGGAGAAGAGGGGAUGGCUGCUGGAGAGGCAGGAGCAGCUCGGGAGGCUGAGCACGCAGGCCACAGACGAGGAGGAGAGCAAGCAGGUGGCCCUGGGCACGUCCAAGCUCAACUGCCUGGACCCCCGGAUCAGUGUCGCCUGGUGCGUGGGCCCAGGCCACCGCGCCCACUCGUGGCCUCGAGGAGGGGACUGGACCCCUGAGUGGCCCCAGUUCAGUCCCCUGGGCCCUGUGGUCAGCACAGGUCCUUCCUGUGGUGGGACCCGACUGGCUGGUGUGUUUAAUGCUGAGUCCUGGGUCACUGGUCCUCUCUGCCCGAGAGCUCUGGGGCAGUGGAAGGCUGGGGUGGGACCCCAAGCCGCAUACCAGCCACAGAGAGCCCAGCCUGCCCACUGGGGGUGGGGUGACUGGGUCGCCUGUGUGCCCUGUAAGCGUCCCCUGAGCACCCCGCUCGGAGGACAGCUGGGCUGCACUGGGGGACACGGCCUCCUCCCUGCUGCCCUGGGCUGGUGGCCGUGCUGUGGGUGCUGUGCCCAGGAGGAGCAGGUUGGGUCGCCUGGUGUCCUGACCUCUGUCCCGCUCCUCCCAAGAACUCUGGUCUCCUCUUGGCAGGUGUAAGAGGUUUGGGGUGCCCGUGGAGAAGAUCUACAACAAGACACAGAGGGAGAAGUUCGCCUGGGCUCUCGACAUGGCAGGCGAGACUUUGAAUUCUAAAUGAGCGUCUCUGUGCCUCGUCGGAACUUAUUUUUUUUCACCAUUAACGCAGAUUGGGGAAUUUUGUACAAAGUAGUGUCUUUUGUGUCAUCACACAGAAGGUGGCUGAUGCCCGGCCGGGUGCUUUCAAGUGUCCCCUGCCCCAUCAGGUGUCCCCUGGCCUGGCUGGGAGCUGGCGUGGCAGCGUGCCUGGUCCCAGGCUGUGACUUGGGGAGGGCCCGACUGUCCCGUAGAGGCCUAUGCCUCCCCACUCCCAAACUCUGCCCCAGCACCGGGCAGGGACCCCCUGAGACACGCUGCACCUGUUACCUCAACAGAUGGGACGGCGGGGCCCUGAGUGCCCAUUGAGCCUGUCUCUCCCUGGUGGGUGGGCGGAGUCCACGUGUCCCCGAGAGAGCAGCUGGCAGCACGUGGGGCUGUCCUGAGUUCCAGGCCAGCAGGAGCUGUGGUGUCUGUGCCCUCAGGCCACCUGGUGCGGUGCACAGGCCCUCAGGGGCUGGUUUCGGAGUCACAGGGAAAGAUCUCGGGUGGCUGUGUGGCACUCAGUGGCCAGGGACAUAUGGGCGUGGCUGACGAUGGAUGGGAGUGCCACUGAUGUGGGGUGGGAGGGACACCCCUGCCGCAGCCAGGCCUGUGGUCUGCCUGCAGGCUCCUGGAGCUGGAGGUGGGCAGGGGCUGGGAGGUGUCUUCUUUCAAAUUCUAGGUUGGGGGGGCAGAUAAUUUUUCUUUGUAGUUUAUACGUCUCUGGCUCAAGAGGCAUCUCAUCUACACCCAGACCAGGUGAAACUCACCAGAGAACAGCCUUUGGAUGGGACUUCCGGGUGCCUUAGGGGCGGGCAUGUUUCGUGUGGAAGGAAAAGUAAGUAAGCGUGGCUACAGCGUGGAGUGUAGAAAACUAAGUGGUCCCAAGUCUGCAGAUCCUUGUCAUUCCCUGGGGCUCUCUGGGCCCUCGCCACUGUCUGCAGUGGACUCCCUGUUUACUGGACCCCACCCACCCCUGUCUCCCAGCUCCUAGUGUGUUAGGGGAUCUUCUUUUUGUGGCCUCCUGAAAAAAAAAGUUUCAUGAACAGCAGUGAAAAAAUUUCAGUUUGCAUGUCUGAAAAUACUGUCAUCCGACUGUCACACUGGACUCACGACUCCAUACGUGUAAACUUACAGGUUGCAAAUUAUUUUCAGUUGUAACUUUCAAAGCAUUGUUCCGUUGUCUUCCGACUUGGGAUGCGCUGUUGGGAAGUUCCCCGGGAUCUGAUGCCCAGUGCUCCGUGGGAUCUGCUGUCUGGCCUGCCGCCUCUGAGUGCACAGCAUGCGGAAUCUUAGUUCCUCGACCAGGAAUUGAACCUGUGCCACCUGCGGUGGAAGCGUGGAGUCCUAACCACUGGACCACCAAGUAAGUCCCCUAUUCUGUUCUCUUUUAGUGGACACAGUUCCUUCUUGAUCUCGUUGAAGUUACUAACUACCAUCUCGCUCACCUUUUCUACGUUUCUUGCACUAUCUCUGUUUCCUCUGAGUUUGUAAAAAGCUCCUUUUCUGGUUUGACCUCGCAUGCGCAUCGAGAACCUCCUCAGCUGUCUGGUGCUGGCCUUCCAUCCAUGGGGACGGGGUGGGGGCGUUCUGAACCCAGGGGAGCCUUGCUGCCUCUGGAGCAGCUGAAUGCGGUUGCCACUGAGGUUGGUCUUUAUGGCAGGACUUUGGUGUUUCUCUGAGAUGGUUCCUGUUCUCUGGUGAGGACCCUGCAGACCCGCCGUCUCCAGUCACGGAGCCUUCCCAGAACUUAAAUUGGUGGGCGUCUCACCUCCGGAGGCCCCUUGGCGGACUCCUGCCUCUGCCUACUUUAUCUUCACAGCCGUCCAACUUUCCCAACACCACUUGCUGAAGAGACUGUCUUUUCUACAUUGCAUAUUUCUGCCUCCCUUGUCGAAGAUUAACUGAUGGUAAGUGUGUGGGUUUAUUCCUGGGCUCUCUAUUCUGGUGAUCCGUAUGUCUGUUUUUGUGCCAAUACCAUGUUGUUUGAUUACUGUAGCUUUGUAGUAUUGUCUGAAGUCUGGGAGGGUUAUGCCUCCUGUUUUGUUCUUUUUCCUCAGGACUGCUUUGGCA